rnacentral:sRNA from 1 species
UUUAGGGACUGGACUUGCGGUGUAAACAGAGACGCUGCAAAUUGCUUGUGGACGGUAUAGGCUGCUGCAGGCCACCAUGAACCGGCUGCCGGAUGACUACGACCCCUACGCGGUUGAAGAGCCUAGCGACGAGGAGCCGGCUUUGAGCAGCUCUGAGGAUGAAGUGGAUGUGCUUUUACAUGGAACUCCUGACCAAAAACGAAAACUCAUCAGAGAAUGUCUUACCGGAGAAAGUGAAUCAUCUAGUGAAGAUGAAUUUGAAAAGGAGAUGGAAGCUGAAUUAAAUUCUACCAUGAAAACAAUGGAGGACAAGUUAUCCUCUCUGGGAACUGGUAAACUUUUGGUUCAAUUUUAUAUAUAUUUUUGUAAGCUCUGUAAGGGCAGUAACCUUAUUUGUGCUCUUCUAUGUCCCCAGCACUUUCAAUAGGUGCUCAAUAAAUAUUUAUUGAAUGAAGGAGUAAAUGUAUUUGGCAGUCUGAGCUAGAGUCUUCCUUUUCUCAUUUAAAAACAGUUAUUUAUUUAUUACUUUAGAUUCAAUGUCUCAUUCUGUCACCCAGGCUGGA